ACACAAGAUCCUUCCACCCUCUCUUUCUCACAUCCAAAGAUGGAUAAUGUUUGGUAUUUUAUGGUAUGUUCAAAUGUGGUUUGAAAUUGGUUACCAUAUAAGAUAAUGUUUGACAUUAUCUAAACCUUGCCGCCAACUUCCUUCGUUUCCUCUUAUUUUGUGUGACAAUGUGGAAGAUUUUACCAUGGAGAAUCAAAUAGAGAUCUGAUUCCACAUGAAAGCAAGUUAUUUGGGGCAUCCCAUAUUAUUUUGGCAUUGAAAUUAUGAGAGGGAGGCGAUAUCUCAUGGAAGAGUCCAAACGUUGGUAGACUCUUCAUCCCACUUCCUUACAUGCCUAAAUAAAAGAGGUUUGUUAUUCUUUUUGUGCGUGUAAGAGAGAAAAGAAAAGGCUUUUCAUGGUGAGAAGUCCUUGGGCAUGGGUUCAUGAUGUGAAAAGAAGAGAAGACUUCUCUCUUCUUAGGUUAGCACAAAAACCUAGUUUCUAGGGUUUGGACCAGGGGUUUGGGAAGAGAGAAAACUUAGAGGAAAAAUUAUUUCUUCUUUAGCUUUCUUCCACAUUCUCAUCUCCUCCAGAUGUUCAUCUUCAACCUCUAGAAAAAUUUCAAAGAUUUGAAAAAAGAAUUCAGAUCAGCCAAAAAGAAGGUCUUCGCACGAACUAGCAUUCUCAAGUAGACGAUCAGAUUGGAGCUUCGAGUGGACCUUCCAUAGAGAUCGGAUACAUGUGCAGCUACGAGCAACCAGCGAGGAUCUUUCUUACUAUAUUUUUCAGCAGCAACGAUCAUCGAUCCGCACUCAGGUAUCGAGUUCUAAAUUUAGAUUAAAUAUAGAUUUGAUCUAC
rnacentral:lncRNA from 1 species